GAGUUUGAUCCUGGCUCAGGAUGAACGCUGGCGGCGUGCUUAACACAUGCAAGUCGAACGAAGCGCUUAAAUGGAUUUCUUCGGAUUGAAGUUUUUGUGACUGAGUGGCGGACGGGUGAGUAACGCGUGGGUAACCUGCCUCAUACGGGGGGAUAACAGUUAGAAAUGACUGCUAAUACCGCAUAAGCGCACAGUGCUGCAUGGCACAGUGUGAAAAACUCCGGUGGUAUGAGAUGGACCCGCGUCUGAUUAGCUAGUUGGUGGGGUAACGGCCUACCAAGGCGACGAUCAGUAGCCGGCCUGAGAGGGUGAACGGCCACAUUGGGACUGAGACACGGCCCAAACUCCUACGGGAGGCAGCAGUGGGGAAUAUUGCACAAUGGGGGAAACCCUGAUGCAGCGACGCCGCGUGAGCGAAGAAGUAUUUCGGUAUGUAAAGCUCUAUCAGCAGGGAAGAAAAUGACGGUACCUGACUAAGAAGCACCGGCUAAAUACGUGCCAGCAGCCGCGGUAAUACGUAUGGUGCAAGCGUUAUCCGGAUUUACUGGGUGUAAAGGGAGCGUAGACGGUUGUGUAAGUCUGAUGUGAAAGCCCGGGGCUCAACCCCGGGACUGCAUUGGAAACUAUGUAACUAGAGUGUCGGAGAGGUAAGUGGAAUUCCUAGUGUAGCGGUGAAAUGCGUAGA
rnacentral:rRNA from 1 species